rnacentral:rRNA from 1 species
UACGACCNCGAGACCGAUAGCGAACAAGUACCGUGANNNNAANNGAAAAGAACUUUGAAGAGAGAGUUCAAGAGUACGUGAAACCGUUCAGGGGUAAACCUAAGAAACCCAAAAGAUCGAACGGGGAGAUUCAUCGUCAGCGACACCGGCUUCGCGUCGGUGGGCGAUGUCCCGCGGUUUCUCGCGCGGGCACGCUACCGUGCGCGCAUGACCGGCUUCGUCGUCGUGCACUUCUCCCCUAGUAGAACGUCGCGACCCGCUGGGUGUCGGUCUACGGCCCGGGUGAGGUGACUGUCGCGUCGCCGGUAAAACGGCACGCGGCAAACCCUCGGACGCCCGGCCGGCUGCCCGGCGGUACUCGCACGGUAUCAGGCCGCAGUUUGUCUGCGUCAAGCCCGUCGCAAGCGCGCGCCACGGUUACUCGGAGGUACGGACCUAGCGCCGUCCCCGGUCCUGGUCCGCUGUUGGCCGACGGUGACCCUUUGACAGGCCUUACGGGGCGACGUGGGGGGCUUUCGCCGUUCCACGUCCGCCCUAAUACCGGUCGGCGACGCUACUGCUUUGGGUACUCUUAGGACCCGU